CAGCCGCCACGGUAAAACGGAGGGUGCAAGCGUUAAUCGGAAUUACUGGGCGUAAAGCGCACGCAGGCGGUCUGACAAGUCAGAUGUGAAAUCCCCGGGCUUAACCUGGGAACUGCAUUUGAAACUGUCAGGCUGGAGUCUUGUAGAGGGGGGUGGAAUUCCAGGUGUAGCGGUGAAAUGCGUAGAGAUCUGGAGGAAUACCGGUGGCGAAGGCGGCCCCCUGGACAAAGACUGACGCUCAGGUGCGAAAGCGUGGGGAGCAAACAGGAUUAGAUACCCCUGUAGUCCCUGUCUCUUAUAC
rnacentral:rRNA from 1 species